rnacentral:rRNA from 1 species
UCUAACCUAGGCCCAUAAACUGGGUCGGGGACCGUGUCUGGUGGGUAGUUUGACUGGGGCGGUCUCCUCCUAAAGAGUAACGGAGGAGCACGAAGGUUGGCUAAGCAUGGUCGGACAUCAUGCGGUUAGUGCAAAGGCAUAAGCCAGCUUGACUGCGAGAGUGACGGCUCGAGCAGGUACGAAAGUAGGUCUUAGUGAUCCGGUGGUUCUGAAUGGAAGGGCCAUCGCUCAACGGAUAAAAGGUACUCCGGGGAUAACAGGCUGAUACCGCCCAAGAGUUCAUAUCGACGGCGGUGUUUGGCACCUCGAUGUCGGCUCAUCACAUCCUGGGGCUGAAGUAGGUCCCAAGGGUAUGGCUGUUCGCCAUUUAAAGUGGUACGCGAGCUGGGUUUAGAACGUCGUGAGACAGUUCGGUCCCUAUCUGCCGUGGGCGUUGGAAGAUUGAGAGGGGUUGCUCCUAGUACGAGAGGACCGGAGUGAACGCACCACUGGUGUUCGGGUUGUCAUGCCAAUGGCAUUGCCCGGUAGCUAAGUGCGGAAGAGAUAACCGCUGAAAGCAUCUAAGCGGGAAACUUGCC